CCUACGGGAGGCAGCAGUGAGGAAUAUUGGACAAUGGGCGCAAGCCUGAUCCAGCCAUGCCGCGUGCAGGAUGACGGUCCUAUGGAUUGUAAACUGCUUUUGUACAGGAAGAAACCCUUUCACGUGUGAAAGAUUGACGGUACUGUAAGAAUAAGGAUCGGCUAACUCCGUGCCAGCAGCCGCGGUAAUACGGAGGAUCCAAGCGUUAUCCGGAAUCAUUGGGUUUAAAGGGUCCGUAGGCGGUCAGAUAAGUCAGUGGUGAAAGCCCAUCGCUCAACGGUGGAACGGCCAUUGAUACUGUCUGACUUGAAUUAUUAGGAAGUAACUAGAAUAUGUAGUGUAGCGGUGAAAUGCUUAGAGAUUACAUGGAAUACCAAUUGCGAAGGCAGGUUACUACUAAUGGAUUGACGCUGAUGGACGAAAGCGUGGGUAGCGAACAGGAUUAGAUACCCUGGUAGUCCACGCCGUAAACGAUGGAUACUAGCUGUUGGGAGCAAUCUCAGUGGCUAAGCGAAAGUGAUAAGUAUCCCACCUGGGGAGUACGUUCGCAAGAAUGAAACUCAAAGGAAUUGACGG
rnacentral:rRNA from 1 species